rnacentral:rRNA from 1 species
CCUACGGGAGGCUGCAGUGGGGAAUUUUGGACAAUGGGCGAAAGCCUGAUCCAGCAAUGCCGCGUGUGUGAAGAAGGCCUUCGGGUUGUAAAGCACUUUUGUCCGGAAAGAAAUCCUUGGCCCUAAUACGGUCGGGGGAUGACGGUACCGGAAGAAUAAGCACCGGCUAACUACGUGCCAGCAGCCGCGGUAAUACGUAGGGUGCGAGCGUUACGCGGAAUUACUGGGGGCAAAGUGUUAAGACCCAUGUGAAAUCCCCGGGCUCAACCUGGGAACUGCAUUGGUGACUGGCAAGCUAGAGUAUGGCAGAGGGGGGUAGAAUUCCACGUGUAGCAGUGAAAUGCGUAGAGAUGUGGAGGAAUACCGAUGGCGAAGGCAGCCCCCUGGGCCAAUACUGACGCUCAUGCACGAAAGCGUGGGGAGCAAACAGGAUUAGAUACCCCUGUAGUC